UCUCCGUAGGUGAACCUGCGGAGGGAUCAUUACUGAGUGAGGGCUUCGGUCCGACCUCCAACCCUUUGUGAAUCGUACUCGUUGCUUCGGGGGCGACCCUGCCGUUCGCGGCGCGGCGCCCCCGGGGUCAAUCAAACACUGCAUUCUCUGCGUCGGAGUAUUAGUAAAUCUAAUCAAAACUUUCAACAACGGAUCUCUUGGUUCUGGCAUCGAUGAAGAACGCAGC
rnacentral:misc_RNA from 1 species